rnacentral:rRNA from 1 species
CACAGGCUGUGAACUCGAAGAGUAGGGCGGGACACGUGGUAUCCUGUCUGAAUAUGGGGGGACCAUCCUCCAAGGCUAAAUACUCCUGACUGACCGAUAGUGAACCAGUACCGUGAGGGAAAGGCGAAAAGAACCCCGGCGAGGGGAGUGAAAAAGAACCUGAAACCGUGUACGUACAAGCAGUGGGAGCACCUUCGUGGUGUGACUGCGUACCUUUUGUAUAAUGGGUCAGCGACUUAUAUUCUGUAGCAAGGUUAACCGUAUAGGGGAGCCGAAGGGAAACCGAGUCUUAACUGGGCGUUAAGUUGCAGGGUAUAGACCCGAAACCCGGUGAUCUAGCCAUGGGCAGGUUGAAGGUUGGGUAACACUAACUGGAGGACCGAACCGACUAAUGUUGAAAAAUUAGCGGAUGACCUGUGGCUGGGGGUGAAAGGCCAAUCAAACCGGGAGAUAGCUGGUUCUCCCCGAAAGCUAUUUAGGUAGCGCCUCGUGAACUCAUCUUCGGGGGUAGAGCACUGUUUCGGCUAGGGGGCCAUCCCGGCUUACCAACCCGAUGCAAACUACGAAUACCGAAGAAUGUUAUCACGGGAGACACACGGCGGGUGCUAACGUCCGUCGUGAAGAGGGAAACAACCCAGACCGCCAGCUAAGGUCCCAAAGUCAUGGUUAAGUGGGAAACGAUGUGGGAAGGCCCAGACAGCCAGGAUGUUGGCUUAGAAGCAGCCAUCAUUUAAAGAAAGCGUAAUAGCUCACUGGUCGAGUCGGCCUGCGCGGAAGAUGUAACGGGGCUAAACCAUGCACCGAAGCUGCGGCAGCGACGCUUAUGCGUUGUUGGGUAGGGGAGCGUUCUGUAAGCCGUUGAAGGUGGCCUGUGAGGGUUGCUGGAGGUAUCAGAAGUGCGAAUGCUGACAUAAGUAACGAUAAAGCGGGUGAAAAGCCCGCUCGCCGGAAGACCAAGGGUUCCUGUCCAACGUUAAUCGGGGCAGGGUGAGUCGACCCCUAAGGCGAGGCCGAAAGGCGUAGUCGAUGGGAAACAGGUUAAUAUUCCUGUACUUGGUGUUACUGCGAAGGGGGGACGGAGAAGGCUAUGUUAGCCGGGCGACGGUUGUCCCGGUUUAAGCAUGUAGGCGGAGGUUCCAGGUAAAUCCGGUACCUUUUAACGCUGAGGUGUGAUGACGAGGCACUACGGUGCUGAAGUAACAAAUGCCCUGCUUCCAGGAAAAGCCUCUAAGCAUCAGGUAACACGAAAUCGUACCCCAAACCGACACAGGUGGUCAGGUAGAGAAUACCAAGGCGCUUGAGAGAACUCGGGUGAAGGAACUAGGCAAAAUGGUGCCGUAACUUCGGGAGAAGGCACGCUGAUAUGUAGGUGAAGCCCCUGCGGGUGGAGCUGAAAUCAGUCGAAGAUACCAGCUGGCUGCAACUGUUUAUUAAAAACACAGCACUGUGCAAACACGAAAGUGGACGUAUACGGUGUGACGCCUGCCCGGUGCCGGAAGGUUAAUUGAUGGGGUUAGCGGCAACGCGAAGCUCUUGAUCGAAGCCCCGGUAAACGGCGGCCGUAACUAUAACGGUCCUAAGGUAGCGAAAUUCCUUGUCGGGUAAGUUCCGACCUGCACGAAUGGCGUAAUGAUGGCCAGGCUGUCUCCACCCGAGACUCAGUGAAAUUGAACUCGCUGUGAAGAUGCAGUGUACCCGCGGCAAGACGGAAAGACCCCGUGAACCUUUACUAUAGCUUGACACUGAACACUGGUCCUUGAUGUGUAGGAUAGGUGGGAGGCUUUGAAGCGUGGACGCCAGUCUGCGUGGAGCCGACCUUGAAAUACCACCCUUUAAUGGCUGGUGUUCUAACGUAGACCCGUAAUCCGGGUUGCGGACAGUGUCUGGUGGGUAGUUUGACUGGGGCGGUCUCCUCCCAAAGAGUAACGGAGGAGCACGAAGGUUAGCUAAUCCUGGUCGGACAUCAGGAGGUUAGUGCAAUGGCAUAAGCUAGCUUGACUGCGAGAGUGACGGCUCGAGCAGGUGCGAAAGCAGGUCAUAGUGAUCCGGUGGUUCUGAAUGGAAGGGCCAUCGCUCAACGGAUAAAAGGUACUCCGGGGAUAACAGGCUGAUACCGCCCAAGAGUUCAUAUCGACGGCGGUGUUUGGCACCUCGAUGUCGGCUCAUCACAUCCUGGGGCUGAAGUAGGUCCCAAGGGUAUGGCUGUUCGCCAUUUAAAGUGGUACGCGAGCUGGGUUUAGAACGUCGUGAGACAGUUCGGUCCCUAUCUGCCGUGGGCGCUGGAGAAUUGAGGGGGGCUGCUCCUAGUACGAGAGGACCGGAGUGGACGCAUCACUGGUGUUCGGGUUGUCAUGCCAAUGGCACUGCCCGGUAGCUAAAUGCGGAAGAGAUAAGUGCUGAAAGCAUCUAAGCACGAAACUUGCCCCGAGAUGAGUUCUCCCUGAGACUUAAAGUCUCCUGAAGGAACGUUGAAGACGACGACGUUGAUAGGUCGGGUGUGUAAGCGCAGCGAUGCGUUGAGCUAACCGAUACUAAUGAACCGUGAGGCUUAACCUU